ensembl:lncRNA
GCUUAAGACACCACGGGUUAAAUGUUAGCCCGUCCAGUUUAUUACAAACCCAAGUUGUUUAAGGAGAUGGGGAAGGGAAGACGGGCGAUAGAAAAGAUAGCAAAUAAAAGCAAGCAGUCUUUGUAGGAAGCAAGAGAGAGACAGUCACCACCACAGGUCCAGCGUGGUUCGUAGCUCAGACGUCGAUCUACAGUAGUGAUGGGUCAUCAGGGGUCGUUGUUCAGUUGACGACAACGGUCAGCUCUCUUUGGAGUGGCGGCUUGUGGCUUUGGGGUCUCAGCAGAAACUCCUUUGUCCCCAUCUCCCGCGCCUUGCCAGCAGAUAGGAGGGAGCAGGGAGGUGCCCACCUGCAUCCUGUUUUUCGCAGGAUACGAUGGCGUUGUUCCCUCAGUUCUCCUAUACCAAGCUGGAGUUUUUGGUCACAGCCCACACCUUCCUCAAGUAACCUCUCGUCAGCACUCUCUGCCAAAGGCAAACAGCUGCAAAGAAAUGCUUUCAAAUGUAAAAUUGUCCACCAAGUGAUGCUGAUUGCCACACCCACCUGUCAUCUCCUAGCUAAGUCAGAGUCUUAUGGCAAGAAGUGCCUCCAAAAGCAAACUUGGAGCCAAAACCAAAGAAGGGUGCAGACAGGCCCCCAGGAAUGGCCCAGAGAGGAAUCGCGCACCUGUUUGGCAGCCUCAGGUGGAGCUCUGCUUCUCCUGGGCACCCCAUGCCCUGGUCAGCGUGGACAGGACAUCCCCCGCCUGGGGAGCCCCGCUUUGGUCUUUGGUGGCUGACUCUGCAGAGAUCUGGUCCUCCUGUGCAUCAGUG